UGGCCCCAGAUAAGGGAGGAUGAGGAUCCACCAAAGUGAAUGUAGCCCUUUACACCUCUCAGUUCUAAAUUGUCUUCUCCCUGCAUUCAUCCCCAGGAGGUGUUUUCAUUAAUGAGAAUCUCCUGAUGAGAUUGGAGCAUUUAACACCUAAUCAAAGAAGUGCUGAUUUCUUUCAGACUAGGUGCUCUGCAGUAGUACAUAAGGGCUACCUUUGCCUUAAAAUUGGCAUGACUCCUCAAGGUGCUGGAGAGAAGACUUGUCAAGCUAACUGCUGGUAAAGUGAAGACAUAUUGGUAACAGUGAAAAUAGCAAUGGUAAAGAGGAGAUGAGAUCAGCUACCAACUAUGACUAAGUCUUGUAGCUGUCAAGAGAUAAAAAUAGAGUAAUGUGUACAUGCCUGAAGUAAAAAUAAGGUACCAGUGCAUGUGACAAAGGUGAGUUGGUUCCACUGACUGCUUUUCUCCAGGGUUAUCCUAUGUUAUAAGUUGAUGCAGAUGGUUAUUGAGCAGAUUGGGGCCAUUCAGCAACACCUAGUAGCAAUAUCUAGCAACAUCUAGCAUCUGUUCACCUAGCAAUGUCAGAAUAAGGGGGCAGUUGCCUCUAAAAGCCACUUACAUACUAAUCCACUCAACUGUUUUCUGCUUGUACAUCUGGGGAUGAGGCAGGAUCAGACUCCAGCCAUGACAUCACAUAAUCCUCCUUCUGUAGUGACACCCUUGCAUAAUAUAGAAGAAUAUUUGCAGUGUAAGGGUCAUAUGUCACAGCAGCACAGGGAGUCACAAGCUGCAUGACUGUCAAGGAGUUUUUAAACCAGCGUGACUGACAUGGAGCCUUACACAUAUCUGUCAUAUGGCCUUGUAAGACAUUUGGAAAGCCCUAAGCAAGGCUGUUCCCAGAUGUAAGGUCACCGUCACACAACAAUAGUGUCCCUGUGAGGUGCUCCAGGAGACAGUCAUCACAUUUGACCAUUAGAUUAUCAAAGUGGAUGUUGUAACAACAUAGUGUUGAGUUUGAAAGGAAAUUGUUUUCAUAUCUGAGCCAAGAAAAAUUUUCCAGUAACAGCAGGAAGAUUCAACUUGGAUGCCUACAAAGUAUUGCAAGUUAAUAAUGCUAGGCAGAGGGCCAGUGGAAAUAGAUGGUAUUUGUUUUUAAAAAAUAUAUUCAUCCUUUUCCCCUUACACUUUGCCUACUGUUUGUCUUUCUGGACUGCAAGUGCUUCAGAGCAAAGCUGUGUGCCUGAGAUAAGUCAUAUUACUUACUUAAUCAAUGCCCGCUAAUGAUAAAUAGGAAUCAUAUAAAACAUUAAUACCUUUUUACCCAUGUCUGCAUCUGGCUCUCAGUGAGGUACUGGACUUGUUGCUGCUACAUCUGACCAUAUGUUCUGAGUGUAAUCCCUUUAAUAUCGUCACAGCAGCAAUACACCUGGGACAUGAAAGCUCUUAGCAAAUAGCUGAUGUCAGGGCUGGAGGCAAGAGACAGAGAAACCAAGAAAGUCAAGAGAUAUGUGAAACUAAAGGGUUUGUUGUAAAAAUGGUAAAGAAUGGUGAAGAAACAAGAAAUCCACAUAGUCAAAGGUGAACCCUGGGCUGAGGAACAUGCAGAGACAGAGCAAAACUUUUCGAGCUUCGUAAUAGUGAGAUUCUACAACGCACAACAAGCAGCAGACAUAGUGAUGAGAUUCCCCUGUUGCCAGUUGGUCCAACAAGCCAACUCUUAAUCUUGGUUUUGUCCAAAUGACUGGCUGCUGUUGAGUCAUCUUGAUGGAUACAGCAGCAUCUGUUGCACUCUGGCAAGACCAGGGGCCAAUACAACAUUCUUCCCAGAAAACAGUAAUGAGAUAUGCACCUCUUACAUGUUCCUACAUAACGAUGAUGCAGCAGGACGCUGAUAUAUUUAAGAAGCCAUUGGAAACAAGCAGUGUUUUGCAAGCCUUUGCAUCUCACUGUAAUAAUAAAAAGUGAUCUGUCA